rnacentral:lncRNA from 1 species
ACAUUGUCAACAAAAGCAACUUAACUCACUCAGAGUUUCAGUCCCACUUUAGAAUUCGCAUUUUGACAUCGGCUCCUGGACUAGUUCUGAGGUGGGAGCUGUCCCAAUUCCAGGUGAUGUGUCUGCCUCAGUCAAGGUGUUCUCGGAGAAAGGGACUUAAACUUCAGAAUGCUCAGAGCUCUGUCAUCAAGUGAAUGGCAGCUAAGAAAUUAGACCAGCCUUACCUUUCAACUCUUUCAAGGCAGUUAUCCAAUGCAAACUUUGAAAAUGCCUUUGCUGGUUAAUCACAGAUGGACGAACCACUCCAAAAGAAACAAGAUAGCAGAUUGGUGAUCCAGUGGUGACCAGGUCUACAUGGUUUGUGAUGAGCCAGAACACCCAGGUCCUAGAACUACACAUCCCAUUACCUACAUUGCAGGACUCCAGUGGAAAUAUCAUUGUUUGGAGAAUAGCCAACUGACAAUGUUAUUCCUCCUCAAAGGGAGAAACUUCUUUAAAUCUGCAAGAAUUUUACUCUGUACCUUUGAUGUGAAAAUUUCAUCAUCUGUUUCUGGGAAAGCUUGCUACGUUAUAUAAGAAUAUAAAGAAAGAAAUGAAGAGAGGCCACCAGUCUCAACUUUUGCAAUCUACAGAUUUCAGCUUCAAAGCAAAAACGACAGAUUAAUUUCUCAAGUCUUGAAUUUUACUUGGAAGGAAAACAACAUUCAGAUCUUAUUUGCAUCUGAUGGCUCAGUUUUAUAAAUGGCAAAGCCAUAAGCUUGUGCACAGAACUCCUUCUGGGACUGGCAUCUGUGCUCAUGCACUGCAUCCUAAAAGUGGUGAAGAGCUUUCUACCUAUAUCUACUUUUUGAAAGAUGUCACUGUGAAAUGUGUUAUUGCCUGAUAGCAUGUGAAUAACAUCCUCAGCCAGAACCCUGGAAUCCUUUGCUGUUUGGGACAAUUCACCCUCCCAUAAUUGCAAUCUUUGUGAGCCUAGCCACUCUUCUGCAUAAGGUCAUAGCCCAGAAUGAUCCAC